GGCUGCAUUGCUGGUGGUGGUGGUAGCUGGUGACCUCGCUCACCUUCCCUGUUCGUAGGAUCCUCUCCCUCCGCGGCCAUGGAAGAGGAGGAGAAUCCAGUUCCCCCAGCGUCAGAGGAUCCAGUGGGCGGCAGUGAGGAGCAGGGGCGGCCGAGCGAUGCCCCCCCAGACAGGGAGUCGUGUCAGUCGGGUGCUCUCUGCACUGAACAAGUCGUCAUGCUGAAGGCCUUGCAGCAGGUGGUGAGCGGCAGCUUUCAGAGUGAGCGGCUGGGCCGGGCUGGCGAAAAAGAUGCGGAGAGGAAGAUGAUGAGCCGGAAGAAAUGGUGCCAGAGCCCCCAUGCAGAUGGAUCUGGCAGUGGCAAGAGGGGCACCGGGGACCCUAUAGGCACAUGUGACCGGAGCAGCACUGUCCCCGAGGCCCUGGGCCUGUUCUCCGGCCUGGCGGGGGCCCUGCAGUUCCUGCAGAGGUCAUGUGCUGCCUCCAUGCAGACCCGGCUCCUCCUAGGAGACGAGGGGCUCCUGGGGCCCCCGGGCAUCUGCGGGGACGUGGAGCCGGACGAGGUGGAGCUGGUGGCCGAGGUACGGCUGGGGGACGUGGCUGCUGCGUCCGGCAUCUUCAGGAGAGAGCGGGCUUGGAGGGUGCACAAAUCAGGUAGGGCCGGAGGUGGGGAGGAUGGGCCACGGGGCCUGUCCCCUCUAGGGGGCGCCGGCUCCCAUCCGGCCCCAGAGUGGGGACUGGCUGGCU
rnacentral:lncRNA from 1 species